AAUGAUGAUCUGUUCUAUAUUCCAGGAAUAUGGACAGUUCCUGUGUGAGAUAUGCAAAGUGUACACAAAAAGUGCCAGCGCAUUACGCCUGCACUGCAAGGAGAGUCACAGCACUACAUACAACUGCGUGUCCUGUCCGUUCGUCACUAAACAAAAAUGCAGCGCAGUGAGCCACGCGCGCUGGCAUACGGGUGUAAAGUACAAGUGUGAACUGUGUCCUGAGGAGUAUGAGAGGUGACAGGUCCACUCUGUGCUGAAUGUGACAUACGCUUCGCGAGCGAAGCCGCUUUUGAACAACAUGUACGCGUCUCGCCCAAACACAACACUGACAGAUUGCAUCGUAACCAACCCAGCGUGAAACACAAGCGUAGAAGCAGUACGAAGAUAGUGGAGUGCGAACAGGUAACUUUUUUUA
rnacentral:misc_RNA from 1 species